UACGUAGGGUGCAAGCGUUGUCCGGAAUUAUUGGGCGUAAAGAGCUCGUAGGCGGUUUGUCGCGUCUGCUGUGAAAACCCGAGGCUCAACCCUCGGGCCUGCAGUGGGUACGGGCAGACUAGAGUGCGGUAGGGGAGAUUGGAAUUGCCUGGUGUAGCGGUGGAAUGCGCAGAUAUCAGGAGGAACACCAAUGGCGAAGGCAG
rnacentral:rRNA from 1 species